rnacentral:rRNA from 1 species
GAUGAACGCUGGCGGCGUGCCUAAUACAUGCAAGUCGAGCGAACAGACGAGGAGCUUGCUCCUCUGACGUUAGCGGCGGACGGGUGAGUAACACGUGGAUAACCUACCUAUAAGACUGGGAUAACUUCGGGAAACCGGAGCUAAUACCGGAUAAUAUAUUGAACCGCAUGGUUCAAUAGUGAAAGACGGUUUUGCUGUCACUUAUAGAUGGAUCCGCGCCGCAUUAGCUAGUUGGUAAGGUAACGGCUUACCAAGGCAACGAUGCGUAGCCGACCUGAGAGGGUGAUCGGCCACACGGGAACGGAGACACGGUCCAGACUCCUACGGGAGGCAGCAGUAGGGAAUCUUCCGCAAUGGGCGAAAGCCUGACGGAGCAACGCCGCGUGAGUGAGGAAGGUCUUCGGAUCGUAAAACUCUGUUAUUAGGGAAGAACAAAUGUGUAAGUAACUAUGCACGUCUUGACGGUACCUAAUCAGAAAGCCACGGCUAACUACGU